UAGUACGAGAGGACCGGAAUGGACACACCUCUGGUGUUUCGGUUAUGACGCCAGUCGUAUUGCCGAGUAGCUAUGUGUGGAAAGGAUAACCGCUGAAAGCAUCUAAGCGGGAAGCCCCUCCCAAGAUUAGGUCUCCCUGACAGUUUAACUGUCCUAAAGAUCCCUCGGAGACUACGAGGUUGAUAGGCACGGUGUGGAAGAGUAGUGAUACUUGAAGCUAACGUGUACUAAUUGAUCGUGAGGCUUGACCAUAUAACACCCAA
rnacentral:rRNA from 1 species